rnacentral:miRNA from 1 species
UGUUUGUGGGAUGAAGGCAGGAGCC